GAUGAACGCUGGCGGCGUGCCUAAUACAUGCAAGUCGAGCGAACAGAUAAGGAGCUUGCUCCUUUGACGUUAGCGGCGGACGGGUGAGUAACACGUGGAUAACCUACCUAUAAUACUGGGAUAACUUCGGGAAACCGGAGCUAAUACCGGAUAAGAUUUUGAACCGCAUGGUUCAAUAGUGAAAGACGGCCUUGCUGUCACUUAUAGAUGGAUCCGCGCCGUAUUAGCUAGUUGGUAAGGUAACGGCUUACCAAGGCAACGAUACGUAGCCGACCUGAGAGGGUGAUCGGCCACACUGGAACUGAGACACGGACAAGAGUACUACGGGAGGCAGCAGUAGGGAAUAUUCCGAAAUGGGCGAAAGCAUGACGGAGCAAAGCCGCGUGAGAGAUGAAGGUCUUCGGAUCGUAAAACUCUGUUAUCAGGGAAGAACAAACGUGUAAGUAACUGUGCACGUCUUGACGGUACCUGAUCAGAAAGCAACGGCUAACUACGUG
rnacentral:rRNA from 1 species